rnacentral:lncRNA from 1 species
UUUUUUUUUUAAAUGUCAGAGAACUUGAAAGAGCAAGUGGAAAGGAUGUCAGAAUGUGAGAAUCAGACACAGCCACACGGCAGGGACAGUGACAGUGGCUCAAAGGCAUAAUUGGGCCAUCUGCUGUGAUGUUCUGCAGGGGGCUGGCGGCCAUGUGGUCCAGGCAUGACUGAGAGAGGAGGAGUCUAAUUAGACUGACUCUGCCUCUUGAGGCAAGUCCAGAAGGCAAAGGCAGACCCUUUCCGAGGGGAGACUCAGUCCCCCAAAGCAGAAGGAGGCCUGGGAGAGGUUUACAUGGGGCUUCCCUGUGCAUCUGAGACUGGGCACCAAGCAUCUUCCCUAUGGCCAAUCCUCUCACUCAAUGAGCAACUGAACCUCACAGGGGUCGUCUGAGCUCUGAGAGUAUCAGAGUUUGGAAGGCUGUCAAAGAUGUCCCUGAAUUGGAUGAGGAAAAGAAGUGUAUUUAAAAGCCCUCAGCAAUUUGGGUUGUAAGAACCCAGACCAACCUUGGAGUUCUGAAUGACAAGAGAGCUCCAUUGUGAUGACAAGCACAGGGGUUUACCCUAAAAUUCUUAGAUCCACAGAUCGACUGCCAGGCUGCGGACCCCGACUUCAAAAAGGCACUGUAUUUGGCUAGAGGCAGUGUCUAUCUCUGCAGAUUUUCUGCUGAAGUUUGAAGACCAGUCUGGUGCCCAGUCCUAAAUGGCAAACACUACAGCACCCCUCAAAAAUGGGACACAGAAGUACAGUGUGCUCCUGGUGGACAAGUGCUGGCUAAAGUGUCACAACUGGACCAGAUUGAAAAAUAUUUCACUGGCUGAUCUUCCAAAUCUGACACAACCAAUCAGGAAAUUGACACCCAAGUAGCAUCCAGAGGAUGGUCUGUAUUCAAACCCACCCAGGCUGUAAACAAGUGGCAAUUUUAAAAGGUGAGUGAGCACAAGGGAAGUCAGAACAAAGAAAUGUCAGAAUACUGCCAAAUUUAUACUUUUGGGCCACAAAGACUGUUAAUUACAAAAAUCUGCAAGUAUUUUUUAGAGACGUACUAUAUUUGGCAGACUUUAAGAGGAAACUUAUAAAGGAUUUAUAUUUACCCUACAAAGACAAAUGAUCGUCUAAACGCACCAGAGAUUUAAAUGUUCAAUCUAUUUUUCUUUGAGAUAUCAAACACCUUUAUGUAAAUUUUGAAAGAGAAAAACCAUAAUCAAGACAAUGGGAACAAUUCAAUUGAUUCCUAAAAGGUUUACUCAAGAAAUUAUUUAAGUACACCGGAAAGAUUUCAAAAAACCAAACAGUAAUAUAUAUUUUCCGAUAAAUCCAUGCGAUGUAUGAUGAAAGGAGCUUUUCCUGACAGUCUAGUACAACUGCAAUUUCAGAUCUAAAGGUUAUGUCAUCAAAUCAUCAAAGACGAUUUACUAGCCGCCCCCAGGAGCAGGGCACGCUG